CCAGAUUAUUCGGCCUGAUACAAGGAAAUUGUAGGUCCAAAUUAAAUUGAGUUCUUGAAGUAAACCCUGAAUAUGAUGUGCAUGUGAAAACAGAGCUAUAUUGUGCACAAGCAGUAAGACUCUUAUCAAUAUGGAAAUGUGAAGGAAUCCUUCCUUCCAUCCCUGUUCACCACAGACAUGGUCUGGCUACACUGACCUUAGUGGGAAACAUCCUGGCCCUCUAUGGAGGGGAGUAUGGAGUGUUAAAGUGAUAGCAGAAUAAGGAGGCCUAAAGAACAGGGUCAGAACUGGACUACUUAAGGAGAAAAACAGUUGCUUCAAUGUACAGAAUGAAGCGAGGAGCUUCUCUUGUAGUAAAUGCUUUUUGCAAAGCUCUUCACUUCUGUAGUGUAAGACAGCCCUAUUCUUCAAGCACAUCUUGUAAAAGUUAUUUUGUAUUGAAGCAUAAGGAUGUAGCAAUCAAAUGGAAUUUGGAAGGUUUUUUUUGCUUUGGGCUGUAAUAAGCUUUCAAAGCUGCUUGUUUGAUUAAACACUCUGCUGCUGUGAGGGGAGGAAUUCAGGGACUGAACCCCACCUAGCUUGAGUCACUUGCUUUAGGCAUUUGGAAAGUCACCCUGGCCUCUCUCUAGAGUUUACAAAGACAGACAUACCACCACAGAUAAGCCAUGUGAGGAGCACCAGGCUCUGGGGCUGCUUCUCACCCAACACGCUGCAGACCCAGCCUGGGUGAGCAGCCAGGGCACAGCCUGCUCCAGCCAUGUUGCAGAAGGACUACAUUAAUGGAUAGGAUUGCUCAGAGCACCUGCACAGGCAGUACAGAGUCAAACAUAUUAAUGAGUGUUGGUUUCUACACUGACUGAUUUCCUCUUUCUUUCUUGGGCAGAUUUAUGAAUAAGAAGUUUUGUGUGAAUAAACACUGGUUUGUGGCUGAUAACUGUGCUCAAAAGGUCUUUAUUCAUGCACACCACUUUCCUCCAGAGAAUGUUUUAGAACAUGUUCUAAAUCUUCCCCUCCCGAGUGAUCCCAUGGGAUUUGUUUCCAUACCACUGGGAAGCACUACAGCAAGUACCAUGCCUGGGGAUCAGAGGGACCCCAGCCUCAGUCCUCAAGCCUGGUUUAUGACAGGAUAAGCUGUUAUCCUCUAGGGCCGAGUAUUUUAAUCCAUCUACAGAGUUUCAACGCAGGACAGUGAGUGGGAAAGCAGAGCUGGGUGCUGUUUCUGUACUCCUGCUGUGCUGCAGCCAGCAAAGGCUCCACACUAAGUCUGGCUGCACUAAUGCUGCCCAUAGCACAAAGGAAAAGUGACCCCAUUGACCAGGAGAGCCUCCUUGUGUCAGUGCUCUCAGUGCCACAGUGUGACCAUGGCAGAGCGCAAUAAAAUCUGUGGAAAAGUUUUCUGGAAGAAUGGA
rnacentral:lncRNA from 1 species